rfam:Ictidomys tridecemlineatus contig022648, whole genome shotgun sequence.
GUGGUGGGCUUAGUGGUAGAGUGCUCACCUAGUGAGCGAGAGGCACUGGGUUCAAUCCUCAGUACCACA